rnacentral:rRNA from 1 species
AGAGUUUGAUCCUGGCUCAGGAUGAACGCUAGCGGCAGGCUUAAUACAUGCAAGUCGAGGGGCAGCACGAAUAGCAAUAUUUGGUGGCGACCGGCAAACGGGUGCGGAACACGUACGCAACCUUCCCAAAACAGGUGAAUAGCCCUCCGAAAGGAGGAUUAAUACACCGUAAGAUAUGGAUGUGGCAUCACGACUAUAUUAUAGGCAGCAAUGUCGGUUUUGGAUGGGCGUGCGCCUGUUUAGGUAGUUGGCGGGGUAACGGCCCACCAAGCCUCCGAUCAGUAACUGGUGUGAGAGCACGACCAGUCACACGGGCACUGAGACACGGACCAGACUCCUACGGGAGGCAGCAGUAAGGAAUAUUGGUCAAUGGACGCAAGUCUGAACCAGCCAUGCCGCGUGCAGGAUGACUGCCCUAUGGGUUGUAAACUGCUUUUAUACGGGAAGAAACCCCUCUACGUGUAGAGGGCUGACGGUACCGUAAGAAUAAGGAUCGGCUAACUCCGUGCCAGCAGCCGCGGUAAUACGGAGGAUCCAAGCGUUAUCCGGAUUUAUUGGGUUUAAAGGGUGCGUAGGCGGAUUAUUAAGUCAGUGGUGAAAGCCUGCAGCUUAACUACAGAAUUGCCAUUGAUACUGAUAAUCUUGAGUACAUUUGAGGCGGGCGGAAUGUGUCAUGUAGCGGUGAAAUGCUUAGAUAUGACACAGAACACCGAUUGCGAAGGCAGCUCGCUAAACUGUAACUGACGCUGAGGCACGAAAGCGUGGGUAGCAAACAGGAUUAGAUACCCUGGUAGUCCACGCCCUAAACGAUGAUUACUCGAUGUGUGCGAUAUAAUGUACGCGUCUAAGCGAAUGCAUUAAGUAAUCCACCUGGGGGAGUACGAUCGCAAGAUUGAAACUCAAAGGAAUUGACGGGGGCCCGCACAAGCGGAGGAGCAUGUGGUUUAAUUCGAUGAUACGCGAGGAACCUUACCUGGGCUUGAAAGUUAGCGACAGACCGAGAAAUCGGUCCUCCCUUCGGGGCGCGAAACUAGGUGCUGCAUGGCUGUCGUCAGCUCGUGCCGUGAGGUGUUGGGUUAAGUCCCGUAACGAGCGCAACCCCUAUCAUUAGUUGCCAUCAGGUAAAGCUGGGGACUCUAAUGAGACUGCCUACGCAAGUAGUGAGGAAGGUGGGGACGACGUCAAGUCAUCACGGCCCUUACGUCCAGGGCUACACACGUGCUACAAUGGCCGGUACAAUGGGCAGCUACAUGGUAACAUGAUGCUAAUCUCCAAAACCGGUCUCAGUUCGGAUUGAGGUCUGCAACUCGACCUCAUGAAGCUGGAUUCGCUAGUAAUCGGAUAUCAGCAAUGAUCCGGUGAAUACGUUCCCGGGCCUUGUACACACCGCCCGUCAAGCCAUGGGAGUUGGGGGUACCUGAAGUCGGUCACCGCAAGGAGCCGCCUAGGGUAAAACCGAUGACUGGGGCUAAGUCGUAACAAGGUAACC